rnacentral:rRNA from 1 species
UACGAAGGGGGCUAGCGUUGCUCGGAAUUACUGGGCGUAAAGGGCGCGUAGGCGGACAGUUUAGUCAGAGGUGAAAGCCCAGGGCUCAACCUUGGAAUUGCCUUUGAUACUGGCUGUCUUGAGUUCGGGAGAGGUGAGUGGAAUGCCGAGUGUAGAGGUGAAAUUCGUAGAUAUUGGGAAGAACACCGGUGGCGAAGGCGGCUAUCUGGACUGUGAUUGACGCUGAGGCGCGAAAGCGUGGGUAGCAAACAGG